GAGGCCGGGCUGGGGACAGAGCUGGCCUGCAUGCCUCUCCCCCUCGUGUCCCCCACCCUCCCUCUAACAAGUAUUUAUUGACCCUCGGCCGUGUCUGUGGUGCGGUCCUGGGGGCUGGCGUGGAGGACACAGGAGCCGCCCGCUGCGUGUGUGGGACCUGGGGUCAGAAGCCUUCCCAGCUGGGGCCCCCAGGGCCCGUGGCUCAUGUCCACUGCCCACGGGGCACGUCCCUCGCUGGCUCGGGACUCGGUGCUGGCCCGUGACCUGUGCCCUGCCGGCCCAGCGAGCUGCUGGCCUGAGGCUGCAGGCACUGAGCCUCUCUUGGUGUGUGUGUUGGGGCGGGUGGCAGUGCAUGGGGGUCCUGUCCCCCCAGGAACCCAGCGUGUUGUUGGGCGGGGGGCACCUGCCCGCUUACCUGGGUCUCGUCCUGUCUGGCCCAGACGUCCCCAGGAGAGGCCUUGACCAGCUACGGGACCAGAGGCGGGGCCCCCCGGGCAGGGCGGUCCCGACGGGGACCUGGACACGCAGGGGGACACCAUGGCCAAGGCACCCUGGAGCAGCACGGCCUCGCGCAAGGGACCAGCCCCGCUGCGAGGCCCCUGCAGCAGCUCCGGGGCGGAGACCGACGCGGUGCGUGGGCCCAGGUAACGCAGAGCAGACCUGGUCCCUGGAGAAGGAAGCUGCGCAAGCCCAGCACCGCGGGACCGCAGGCAGGGCGGGCGCGAGCCUGCACAUCCGGACUCUGAGAAGCGCUAAGACAGGAAGGAUGACCACAGCCACUUCAACGUGCAGGACGCCCCGACCCCACCCUGCAGGACUCAGGUGCUGGGGGAGACCCCAGGCUGCGGCCGCGGAUGGACGGGCAGGACACGGGGAGGCGGGGUCAGAGAUCUGGCCGCUGGCAGCGACGACCACUAGCACAAAGGGACACACACCCCAAAGAGGCCCGAGUGGGUGAGGAGGGCACUGGGUUAUCAGUCUCCCACCAAAGGCGGUGGGAGCGAGAAGCGCCACUGACCUGGCACCACCGGCCUCCUCAAACUUCUCUGAAGAGCGAUGCAUGGGGGACACUUCCUGGCUCAUUUACGAGGCCAGCACAACCCUGAUACCAAAGACACGACACAGGAGGGAAAACUACAGACCUGGGACCCCUACGGACACACCGACGCAAGAACCACCUCCAAAAUCCUAGUGCACUGAAUGCAGCCGCAUUCGGAACCCACCCGGCACCACGACCAGGUGGCUCUGUCUCCGGGAUGCAAGGCCGGCUCAUCUAUGAAGGUCGACGCCCGACAGUAACAGAAGAAAAGCAAGAGGCAGUGACCGCCGCCAGCGCCCCAGGAGAAGCACCCGUCGGAGUCAACGCUCUCUCACCAAGACGCUCGCCACGAAAGCACAGACGGAAGCAGCUGCUCACACUACGCCAUGACCGAAGUCCUGUGAGCAGCACACAUCCCCCCGGGGGGGGACAGACCACAGCCUCUCCUCCGACCUCAGCAACAAGGGCAGGGAUUUUGCGGCCACCACGUCUGUUCACCUGGAGCGACCCAGGUGUGCACGGGGCGGGCCCACUUCUGCAUGGACUGUUCUCAAUGAACAUGGUUGAAUCCAUGGACCCAAUGUGCCAACUGCCCAGGGGAUCGGCCCCUCCCCUCCACACGGUUCAGAGGUCAGCUGUGCUGCAAGUCUAGCCCAAGCAACUAGGAAAGAAAAAGAAAAGGACUCCAGAUUGGAAAGAAGUAACGUUAUGCGUUUGCAGAUGGUAUGACUCUACAGGCAAAAAUUCCUAAAGAAUUCACAAAAUAAUUGUUAUUUACAGAAACAGUUCAAUUUAUAGUAGCAUCAAAAAGAACUAAAAUACUUAGUAAUUAGCUUAACGAAGGUGAAAGACUUGUACAAUGAAAACCAUAAAACAAGGCUGACAGAGAUGAAAGCCCUAAAAGGCAAACGCAGCCCAUGUGCCCAGACUGAAAGACAAUACCGCUAAAUGUCACCACCACCGCAAGCAAUUUACAGGCUGAAGCUGCAAAUCCCCAAAACAUUUCUUUUUUGGGUGGAAACAGAAAAACCCGUCCUAAAAUUCUUACGGAAUCACGACUGACUCAACUGGACAAAAUCUUAAAAAAGAACAAAGCUGGGAGUCUCACGCUCUGACCUCGAAACUGACUACGAAGCUCUAGUCGUCAAAACAGCGCGGUCCUGGCAGAGGGACGGACGGGGACCACGGGAAGGGCGGGCCCAGAAAGGACCCUCGAACACAGGUCCCGGAUUUGUGGCAAGGGUUCCAUGCCUUCUCCACAAAUGUUGCCGGGAAAACUGGAAAGCCACUCGCCAAAGAACGAAGCUGGACCCUCAGUAAGUGAAACCGCACAUGAGCAGGUCACCUCAAGGUGGAUCGGGGACGUAUGGGGAAGCCUGAAACGGUAAGGCUCUUACAAGAACUCACAGGGCGAGAGCUUUGUGACACUGGAUUUGGCAGUGAUUUCUUGGAAACGAUGCCAAAGGCACAAGUGACAGAAGAACAGACAAACUGGACUAAGUGAAAACCGAGCAAGUCUGCGAUCGACACGCACUCCAGGCACAAGAAAGGCGCCACGGGAGCGAGGGGGGACCAGGUGGGAGGCGGAGGGCCUCUGAGGGCAGCACGACACCUCCGCGGGAUCCUGUAAUGCUGGACACGUGUCGCCACACGCUUGUCCGCACCCAGAGAACACGACCGCCAAGAGGGAACCCUGAUGUCGCCUCGAUGCAGGUGCACUGACUGGGGGGAUGCUGAUAACGGGGGUGGGGGGGUGAGGUCUCUGUACCUUCCCCUUCACUUCGCUGGGAACCCAACCCUGCUUACAAACGUAAUAAAGCCCUUAACAAAGAAAAAGGCA
ensembl:lncRNA